ensembl:snoRNA
GCUGUGAUGAACUGAGUCUUUAGUCGGAUACCCCUUCACUCUAAUCAUGAGUGAGACGUCCAGUCUGAAAAGC